GGCUCUCAUCCAAUCCCUAUAGGGCUAUUUUGGGCAUUAUCGAAGAUCCUCCUAUUCCUAGCUGCCCAAAUAUAGUAAACUGUAUAGCAUAGGCAAGUCACCAUCCCUUGGCGCGUGGCUUUAGCUCAGCUCUCCUAUCCAAUGAAGUAGAUAAAAGCUUUCCUAUCCUAUACUGGGGAACUAAGGGCUAACCAACCAAACAUAACUCCAAAUAGAAUGGGCCCUCU
rnacentral:lncRNA from 1 species